rnacentral:rRNA from 1 species
UACAGAGGGUGCAAGCGUUGUUCGGAAUCACUGGGCGUAAAGGGCGCGUAGGCGGGAUGGCAAGUCGUUCGUGAAAUCCUUCGGCUCAACCGAAGAACGUCGGCCGAUACUGCCGUUCUUGAGGGAUGCAGAGGAGAUUGGAAUUCCCGGUGUAGCGGUGAAAUGUGUAGAGAUCGGGAGGAACACCGGUGGCGAAGGCGGGUCGCUGGGCAGCUCCUGACGCUGAGGCGCGAAAGCGUGGGGAGCAAACGGG